UACGUAGGGGGCAAGCGUUGUCCGGAUUUACUGGGCGUAAAGAGCGUGUAGGCGGCCACGCAGGUCCGUUGUGAAAACUGGAGGCUCAACCUCCAGCUGUCGACGGAAACCGUAUGGCUAGAGUCCGGAAGAGGAGAGUGGAAUUCCUGGUGUAGCGGUGAAAUGCGCAGAUAUCAGGAAGAACACCAAUGGCGAAGGCAGCUCUCUGGGACGGUACUGACGCUGAGACGCGAAAGCGG
rnacentral:rRNA from 1 species